rnacentral:rRNA from 1 species
CCUACGGGAGGCUGCAGUGGGGAAUAUUGGACAAUGGGCGAAAGCCUGAUCCAGCCAUGCCGCGUGUGUGAAGAAGGCCUUCGGGUUGUAAAGCACUUUCAGUGGGGAAGAAAGCCUUGGGGCUAAUACCCUCGAGGAAGGACAUCACCCACAGAAGAAGCACCGGCUAACUCCGUGCCAGCAGCCGCGGUAAUACGGAGGGUGCGAGCGUUAAUCGGAAUUACUGGGCGUAAAGCGCGCGUAGGCGGUCUGAUAAGCCGGUUGUGAAAGCCCCGGGCUCAACCUGGGAACGGCAUCCGGAACUGGCAGGCUAGAGUGCAGGAGAGGAAGGUAGAAUUCCCGGUGUAGCGGUGAAAUGCGUAGAGAUCUGGAGGAAUACCAGUGGCGAAGGCGGCCUUCUGGACUGACACUGACGCUGAGGUGCGAAAGCGUGGGUAGCAAACAGGAUUAGAUACCCGAGUAGUC